CUACGGGAGGCAGCAGUGAGGAAUAUUGCGCAAUGAGCGAAAGCUAGACGCAGCAACGCCGCGUGAGCGAAGAAGGCCUUCGGGUUGUAAAGCUCUUUUCUGUGUGAAGAGAAGGACGGUAGCACAGGAAUAAGUGUCGGCUAACUACGUGCCAGCAGCCGCGGUAAAACGUAGGACGCAAGCGUUAUCCGGAUUUACUGGGCGUAAAGCGCGCGCAGGCGGUCAGUUAAGUUAUGCGUGAAAGCUCCCGGCUCAACCGGGAGAGGUCGUAUAAAACUGAUUGACUUGAAGGCAGCAGAGGCGUGUGGAAUUCCAGGUGGAGUGGUGAAAUGCGUAGAUAUCCGGAGGAACACCAGUGGCGAAGGCGACACGCUGGGCUGUACUUGACGCUAAGACGCGAAAGCGUGGGUAGCGAACGGGAUUAGAUACCCUCGUAGUC
rnacentral:rRNA from 1 species